GGGGACCGCAAGGUUUCCGGGCGACUAGUGGCGAACGGGUGAGUAAUAUGCGGGAAUCUACCCUUGAGACAGGGAUAACUCGCCGAAAGGUGAGUUAAUACCAGAUGUCACCGCGCGAUGACAAUUGCGCGUUUAAAGGAUGGCCUCUGCUUGCAAGCUAUCGCUCAAGGAGGAGCCCGCAUCCUAUCAGCUAGUUGGCGGGGUAAUGGCCCACCAAGGCUAUGACGGGUAGCUGGUCUGAGAGGACGACCAGCCACACUGGGACUGAGACACGGCCCAGACUCCUACGGGAGGCAGCAGUUGGGAAUAUUGCACAAUGGGGGAAACCCUGAUGCAGCGACGCCGCGUGGGCGAUGAAGGCCUUCGGGUUGUAAAGCCCUGUUAGAGGGGAAGAAGUCCGGAUUGGUGAAUAACCUUUUCGGGCGGACGUUACCCUCAGAGAAAGCCACGGCUAACUCUGUGCCAGCAGCCGCGGUAAGACAGAGGUGGCGAGCGUUGUCCGGAUUCACUGGGCGUAAAGGGCGUGUAGGCGGUCAUGUAAGUCAGUUGUGAAAGGCGUCGGCUCAACCGAAGCAGUGCAGCUGAUACUGCGUGACUGGAGGGCAGGAGAGGGAAGUAGAAUUCCCGGUGUAGCAGUGAAAUGCGUAGAUAUCGGGAAGAAUACCAAUGGCGAAGGCGACUUCCUGGCCUGCUUCUGACGCUGAGGCGCGAAAGCCAGGGGAGCGAACGGGAUUAGAUACCCCGGUAGUCCUGGCUGUAAACGAUGGAUACUAGGUGUGGGGAAGGUCCACUUUUCCGUGCCGAAGGUAACCCGUUAAGUAUCCCGCCUGGGGACUACGACCGCAAGGUUGAAACUCAAAUGAAUUGACGGGGGCCCGCACAAGCGGUGGAGCAUGUGGCUCAAUUCGACACAACGCGAGGAACCUUACCAGGGUUUGACAUGCACCGGACAGUUUUCGAAAGGAAAUCUUCCCGCAAGGGACCGGUGUACAGGUGCUGCAUGGCUGUCGUCAGCUCGUGUCGUGAGAUGUUGGGUUAAGUCCUGCAACGAGCGCAACCCCUAUCCUUAGUUGCCAUCAGGUCAAGCUGGGCACUCUAGGGAGACUGCCCGGGUAACCGGGAGGAAGGCGGGGAUGACGUCAAGUCCUCAUGGCCCUUACACCCUGGGCUGCACACGUGCUACAAUGACUGGUACAAAGGGUCGCGAAAUCGCAAGGUGAAGCCAAUCCCAAAAAACCAGCCCCAGUUCAGAUUGCAGGCUGCAACUCGCCUGCAUGAAGGCGGAAUCGCUAGUAAUCGCGGAUAAGUACGCCGCGGUGAAUACGUUCCCGGGCCUUGUACACACCGCCCGUCAACCCACGAAAGCUGACUGUACCCGAAGC
rnacentral:rRNA from 1 species